rnacentral:rRNA from 1 species
AUGCAGUCGAGGGGUAACGGGGUGCUUGCACCGCCGACGACCGGCGCACGGGUGCGUAACGCGUAUACAAUCUACCUUGUAGAGGGGGAUAGCCCAGAGAAAUUUGGAUUAAUACCCCAUAGUAUUAUGAAAUAGCAUUAUUUUAUAAUUAAACAUUUAUGGCUACAAGAUGAGUAUGCGUUCUAUUAGUUAGUAGGUAAGGUAACGGCUUACCUAGACUUCGAUAGAUAGGGGUCCUGAGAGGGAGAUCCCCCACACUGGUACUGAGACACGGACCAGACUCCUACGGGAGGCAGCAGUGAGGAAUAUUGGACAAUGGGCGAGAGCCUGAUCCAGCCAUGCCGCGUGCAGGAAGACGGCCCUAUGGGUUGUAAACUGCUUUUAUAGAGGAAGAAACACUCCUACGUGUAGGAGCUUGACGGUACUCUACGAAUAAGGAUCGGCUAACUCCGUGCCAGCAGCCGCGGUAAUACGGAGGAUCCAAGCGUUAUCCGGAAUCAUUGGGUUUAAAGGGUCCGUAGGCGGGACAAUCAGUCAGCGGUGAAAGUCUGUGGCUCAACCAUAGAAUUGCCAUUGAUACUGUUGUUCUUGAAUACUUAUGAAGUGGUUGGAAUAUGUAGUGUAGCGGUGAAAUGCAUAGAUAUUACAUAGAACACCGAUUGCGAAGGCAGAUCACUAAUAAGUCAUUGACGCUGAUGGACGAAAGCGUAGGUAGCGAACAGGAUUAGAUACCCUGGUAGUCUACGCCGUAAACGAUGGUUACUAGCUGUUCGG